rnacentral:rRNA from 1 species
CAACGCGUUGGGAGCUCUCCCAUAUGGUCGACCUGCAGGCGGCCGCGAAUUCACUAGUGAUUCGUAUUACCGCGGCUGCUGGCACAGAGUUAGCCGGUGCUUAUUCUGUCGGUAACGUCAAAACAGCAAAGUAUUAAUUUACUGCCCUUCCUCCCAACUUAAAGUGCUUUACAAUCCGAAGACCUUCUUCACACACGCGGCAUGGCUGGAUCAGGCUUUCGCCCAUUGUCCAAUAUUCCCCACUGCUGCCUCCCGUAGGAGUCUGGACCGUGUCUCAGUUCCAGUGUGACUGAUCAUCCUCUCAGACCAGUUACGGAUCGUCGCCUUGGUGAGCCAUUACCCCACCAACUAGCUAAUCCGACCUAGGCUCAUCUGAUAGCGCAAGGCCCGAAGGUCCCCUGCUUUCUCCCGUAGGACGUAUGCGGUAUUAGCGUCCGUUUCCGAACGUUAUCCCCCACUACCAGGCAGAUUCCUAGGCAUUACUCACCCGUCCGCCGCUCUCAAGAGAAGCAAGCUUCUCUCUACCGCUCGACUUGCAUGUGUUAGGCCUGCCGCCAGCGUUCAAUCUGAGCCAUGAUCAAACUCUAAUCGAAUUCCCGCGGCCGCCAUGGCGGCCGGGAGCAUGCGACGU